CUGACCUCAAAUCAGGUAGGACUACCCGCUGAACUUAAGCAUAUCAAUAAGCGGAGGAAAAGAAACUAACAAGGAUUCCCCUAGUAACUGCGAGUGAAGCGGGAAAAGCUCAAAUUUAAAAUCUGGCGGUCUUUGGCCGUCCGAGUUGUAGUCUGGAGAAGUGCUUUCCGCGCUGGACCGUGU
rnacentral:rRNA from 1 species